AUCUAGUGCUACUAGGGAACUUCCAUAGAUACAUCUGCCUAAGUAGUUUAAACACAUGAUGUAACAAAAAGGUAAAAUAAACUGGGAAACAUCCAUUAUCCAAUCGUGUAGGGGAAAACAAAUCUUCUAUUUGAAGCCUCAUCCAUAGUCUUGAAAAGGAGGUAAACAAAAAAUGAGAGGCUAUAUCCUAAACAUGCAUUUUAAAUCAUCCAAGGCUACAAAAAAGCACAAAG